AGUGAACGCUGGCGGUAGGCCUAACACAUGCAAGUCGAACGGCAGCACAGUAAGCGCUUGCUCUUACGGGUGGCGAGUGGCGGACGGGUGAGGAAUACAUCGGAAUCUACUUUUUCGUGGGGGAUAACUUAGGGAAACUUACGCUAAUACCUCAUACCACCUACGGGUGAAAGCAGGUGAUCUUCGGACCUUGCGCGAUUGAAUGAGCCGAGGUCGGAUUAGUUAGUUGGCGGGGUAAAGGCCCACCAAGGCGACGAUCCGUAGCUGGUCUGAGAGGAUGAUCAGCCACACGGGAACGGAGACACGGUCCAGACUCCUACGGGAGGCAGCAGUGGGGAAUAUUGGACAAUGGGGGCAAGCCUGAUCCAGCCAUACCGCGUGGGGGAAGAAGUCCUUCGGGUUGUAAAGCCCUUUUGUUGGGAAAGAAAAGCAGCAGGUUAAUACCCCGCUGUUCUGACGGUACCCAAAGAAUAAGCACCGGCUAACUUCGUG
rnacentral:rRNA from 1 species